rnacentral:rRNA from 1 species
CCCAGACUCCUACGGGAGGCAGCAGUGGGGGAUAUUGCACAAUGGGGGGAACCCUGAUGCAGCGACGCCGCGUGGGUGAAGGAGCGUUUCGGCGCGUAAAGCCCUAUCGGCAGGGAAGAAGGAGGACGGUACCUGACUAAGAAGCCCCGGCUAACUACGUGCCAGCAGCCGCGGUAAUACGUAGGGGGCAAGCGUUAUCCGGAUUUACUGGGUGUAAAGGGGGCGCAGACGGCAGCGCAAGCCAGGAGUGAAAGCCCGGGGCCCAACCCCGGGACUGCUCUUGGAACUGCGCGGCUGGAGUGCAGGAGGGGCAGGCGGAAUUCCUGGUGUAGCGGUGAAAUGCGUAGAUAUCAGGAGGAACACCGGUGGCGAAGGCGGCCUGCUGGACCGUGACUGACGUUGAGGCUCGAGAGCGUGGGGAGCAAACAGGAUUAGAUACCCCAGUA